AGGUGGCAGGUUUAAAGAACUCUUAACCGUGAUCCAAUGAAUGUGCUGCUGGUGCCUUAUGUGAACAAGGAGAAACAGACAAACACUUGGAUUACCCAGAAGAAGCACCAGAUCUCAGUAAGCCUGAAGUUUGUGAAGGGGUUGAGCUGAGCAGUGAGUCCUCUGCCCUUGUAAAGUGUCAGCAGUGUUUGUUCUAUGUGGAUUCUAAACUCAAGGAGCUUGGUCGAUCAAAUGCCAGCCACAACCAUUGCUCCCUCCAAGUAAAGGGGUCAGAGCUGCCUGGGUGGAAGCCCAGAGGGCUGUGGUCAAAGGUCACCGUCCAGUGUCAUUAUGAAGAAGAGAAGAAGAAAAGGAAGGUGAAGAUGAUUUGUGCUAUGCCACCUUGUCCCAUGCUGGUGCUCCUCCAUCCUACUCAGUCAAGUUUGAACAAGGCCAUGACUAGGCCACAGUGGUCAUAUACUGACCAGCAUUGCCGAACUGAAUGGACAUGAAAGGACUUCCAAAUGGAUAGAUUGCUUGACUUAAACACCUACAUUUCAAUUUUCUUUCCAAGAAAUCAUUUGCAUAAAUCUAUUUGCAAUGUAGUUUUGAUUAUCCAAUUUGUCACAUUAAGAGAACAAUAAAGUUUUUGUAUUCCACCA
ensembl:lncRNA